GGUCAGCUGCGUCCGGCGGAGGCAGCUGCUGACCCAGCUGUGGACUGUGCCGGGGGCGGGGGACGGAGGGGCAGGAGCCCUGGGCUCCCCGUGGCGGGGGCUGUAUCAUGGACCACCUCGGGGCGUCCCUCUGGCCCCAGGUCGGCUCCCUUUGUCUCCUGCUCGCUGGGGCCGCCUGGGCGCCCCCGCCUAACCUCCCGGACCCCAAGUUCGAGAGCAAAGCGGCCUUGCUGGCGGCCCGGGGGCCCGAAGAGCUUCUGUGCUUCACCGAGCGGUUGGAGGACUUGGUGUGUUUCUGGGAGGAAGCGGCGAGCGCUGGGGUGGGCCCGGGCAACUACAGCUUCUCCUACCAGCUCGAGUGAGUCCGAUCCGGCGGGUGCCUCCAAGGGCGGAGGGAGGGGGUGGGGCAGAGCUCCCUGGAGGUCGUAGCCUCGUAUGUCCCCUGCUGUUUGAGGCCCGACGGCGCCUCCAGUCGUGGUCACUGGAGGGAAACCUGCGGGUCCAGGGCUGGCACGCCCUCUAUGGGCCGGGGCGCGAACACUCCCGCGAUCACCGCUGGAACGCGACCCCAAACAUCAGGCUGGGAUAACAACGCCUCCAAAUCGAGGGGAUGAGCCAUGGAAGCUGUGUCGCCUGCACCAGGCUCCCACGGCUCGUGGUGCGGUGCGCUUCUGGUGUUCGCUGCCUACAGCCGACACGUCGAGCUUCGUGCCCCUAGAGUUGCGCGUCACAGCAGCCUCCGGCGCUCCGCGAUAUCACCGUGUCAUCCACAUCAAUGAAGUAGUGCUCCUAGACGCCCCCGUGGGGCUGGUGGCGCGGUUGGCUGACGAGAGCGGCCACGUAGUGUUGCGCUGGCUCCCGCCGCCUGAGACACCCAUGACGUCUCACAUCCGCUACGAGGUGGACGUCUCGGCCGGCAACGGCGCAGGGAGCGUACAGAGGGUGGAGAUCCUGGAGGGCCGCACCGAGUGUGUGCUGAGCAACCUGCGGGGCCGGACGCGCUACACCUUCGCCGUCCGCGCGCGUAUGGCUGAGCCGAGCUUCGGCGGCUUCUGGAGCGCCUGGUCGGAGCCUGUGUCGCUGCUGACGCCUAGCGACCUGGACCCCCUCAUCCUGACGCUCUCCCUCAUCCUCGUGGUCAUCCUGGUGCUGCUGACCGUGCUCGCGCUGCUCUCCCACCGCCGGGCUCUGAAGCAGAAGAUCUGGCCUGGCAUCCCGAGCCCAGAGAGCGAGUUUGAAGGCCUCUUCACCACCCACAAGGGUAACUUCCAGCUGUGGCUGUACCAGAAUGAUGGCUGCCUGUGGUGGAGCCCCUGCACCCCCUUCACGGAGGACCCACCUGCUUCCCUGGAAGUCCUCUCAGAGCGCUGCUGGGGGACGAUGCAGGCAGUGGAGCCGGGGACAGAUGAUGAGGGCCCCCUGCUGGAGCCAGUGGGCAGUGAGCAUGCCCAGGAUACCUAUCUGGUGCUGGACAAAUGGUUGCUGCCCCGGAACCCGCCCAGUGAGGACCUCCCAGGGCCUGGUGGCAGUGUGGACAUAGUGGCCAUGGAUGAAGGCUCAGAAGCAUCCUCCUGCUCAUCUGCUUUGGCCUCGAAGCCCAGCCCAGAGGGAGCCUCUGCUGCCAGCUUUGAGUACACUAUCCUGGACCCCAGCUCCCAGCUCUUGCGUCCAUGGACACUGUGCCCUGAGCUGCCCCCUACCCCACCCCACCUAAAGUACCUGUACCUUGUGGUAUCUGACUCUGGCAUCUCAACUGACUACAGCUCAGGGGACUCCCAGGGAGCCCAAGGGGGCUUAUCCGAUGGCCCCUACUCCAACCCUUAUGAGAACAGCCUUAUCCCAGCCGCUGAGCCUCUGCCCCCCAGCUAUGUGGCUUGCUCUUAGGACACCAGGCUGCAGAUGAUCAGGGAUCCAAUAUGACUCAGAGAACCAGUGCAGACUCAAGACUUAUGGAACAGGGAUGGCGAGGCCUCUCUCAGGAGCAGGGGCAUUGCUGAUUUUGUCUGCCCAAUCCAUCCUGCUCAGGAAACCACAACCUUGCAGUAUUUUUAAAUAUGUAUAGUUUUUUUUUGUAUCUAUAUAUAUAUAUACACAUAUGUAUGUAAGUUUUUCUACCAUGAUUUCUACAAACACCCUUUAAGUCCCAUCUUCCCCUGGGCAUAGGCCAUAGGGAUAGAAGUUAAAGUUCUUGAGCUUAUUCAGAAGCUGGAUCUGCAAUCUGAAUGCUACUCAUAACAUAACAAAAUAGUAUGUUAAACAGCUCUUAAAUCUUACUGGCUUACCACAUUAAAUGAUUUCUCUCUCCUAACUCAGCUCAAAUGGGCAGCCAUCCAUGGGAUGAGUCAGAGGUUCAGACUCUUCCAGUCUGUAGCUCUACCUUCUCUUAGGGUACUUAGAUGGAUCCCCUGUUCUACAAACUGCCAGUCAGCAAGGGAAGAAAAAGGGCAGCAAUGACCCUCAAUGGGCCAUUUGAGGGAUCUGGCCUGGAAAUGGGCUUCCUCUCUUCUUCUCACACCUCACUGGCUGGAAACAGUCACAUGACCCCAGUCACAUGAAAGGCCAGGAAACUUAGUUUAGCUGUACACCCAGGAAGGGCAAAGCUGUUUAAGGGCCACUAGCUAGUCUCUGCCACUAAUAAUAAUAAAAGUAAUUCUGAAUCAG